rnacentral:misc_RNA from 1 species
GAUGAAGAACGCAGCGAAAUGCGAUACGUAAUGUGAAUUGCAGAAUUCAGUGAAUCAUCGAGUCUUUGAACGCACAUUGCGCCCCCUGGUAUUCCGGGGGGCAUGCCUGUCCGCGCGUCAUUGCUGCCCUCAAGCACGGCUUGUGUGUUGGGCCUCCGUCCUCCUCCCGGGGGACGGGCCCGAAAGGCAGCGGCGGCACCGCGUCCGGUCCUCGAGCGUAUGGGGCUUCGUCACCCGCUCUUGUAGGCCCGGCCGGCGCUUGCCGACACAUCAAUCUUUUUUCCAGGUUGACCUCGGAUCAGGUAGGGAUACCCGCUGAACUUAAGCAUAUCAAUAAGCGGAGGA